UACGAAGGGGGCUAGCGUUGUUCGGAAUUACUGGGCGUAAAGCGCACGUAGGCGGAUUGUUAAGUCAGAGGUGAAAUCCCGGAGCUCAACUUCGGAACUGCCUUUGAUACUGGCAAUCUAGAGUCCGGAAGGGGUUAGUGGAAUUCCCAGUGUAGAGGUGAAAUUCGUAGAUAUUGGGAAGAACACCAGUGGCGAAGGCGGCUAACUGGUCCGGUACUGACGCUGAGGUGCGAAAGCGUGGGGAGCAAACAGG
rnacentral:rRNA from 1 species